GACCCAGGGUGUGUGGGUUCGAAACCCACAGGGGACAACAUUACAUCCGGAGCCAACUUCUCAGCUCCUAAAAUAAUGGGAUGUGAACUUGCCAAGUAGGUACCUUCGGGCGGACCUACUACCUGAUUUAGCUUAUUGUUUCUGGGCUGGAAACCUGUAUUGCAUGUACCAAUCCUGUCUUUCAUUAAUUUUCCUAUGUUCUUGUUAUUCUUGGCGCUGUUCAACACUAAGCAUUCCUCCGGUAUAACCAACUCUUGCCUGUAUUUAACAUCACACAAGGACUCGUCAUAAGCGCUGCUUGCAUACGAGUAUAACGGAAGA
rnacentral:sRNA from 1 species